rnacentral:rRNA from 1 species
AGAGCGAACGCUGGCGGCAGGCCUAACACAUGCAAGUCGAGCGCCCCGCAAGGGGAGCGGCAGACGGGAGAGUAACACGUGGGAACGUACCCUUCAGUUCGGAACAACCCAGGGAAACUUGGGCUAAUACCGAAUACGUCCGUAAGGAGAAAGAUUUAUCGCUGAAGGAUCGGCCCGCGUCUGAUUAGCUUGUUGGUGAGGUAACGGCUCACCAAGGCGACGAUCAGUAGCUGGUCUGAGAGGAUGAUCAGCCUCACUGGGACUGAGACACGGCCCAGACUCCUACGGGAGGCAGCAGUGGGGAAUAUUGGACAAUGGGCGCAAGCCUGAUCCAGCCAUGCCGCGUGGGUGAUGAAGGCCCUAGGGUUGUAAAGCCCUUUCGGCGGGGAAGAUAAUGACGGUACCCGCAGAAGAAGCCCGGCUAACUUCGCGCUAGCAGCCGC